GACAUCCACAUAAAGUCCGGUGACGUGAUCCGGGCGCGGAUCCACGGAUCGCUGGUCCCCCUGACCGAGCAGAAGCUCUCGCACGAGCAGGUCCGUGCGCUCGCCAUGAAGCUCAUGCCCCGGGAUUCGGACCGGGAGCGGAUCGACGAGAUCCUGGAUUACGACUGUUCGUGGGGGCUGCCCGGGCUGGGUCGCUUCCGGGUGAACAUCCUGCGUCAGCGGGGGACCUUCAUGAUCGUCAUGCGGGUGAUCCCCAUCGACAUCCCGACCAUCGAAGAGCUGAACCUCCCCCAGGUGAUCCACCGGAUCUCGGACAACGAGCGGGGUCUGAUCCUGGUGACCGGCGUGACCGGGUCGGGGAAGAGCUCGACCAUGGCCGGCAUGAUCCA
rnacentral:misc_RNA from 1 species